GUCGAACGGUGAAGCCAAGCUUGCUUGGUGGAUCAGUGGCGAACGGGUGAGUAACACGUGAGCAACCUGCCCUGGACUCUGGGAUAAGCGCUGGAAACGGUGUCUAAUACUGGAUAUGAGACGUGAUCGCAUGGUCGUGUUUGGAAAGAUUUUUCGGUCUGGGAUGGGCUCGCGGCCUAUCAGCUUGUUGGUGAGGUAAUGGCUCACCAAGGCGUCGACGGGUAGCCGGCCUGAGAGGGUGACCGGCCACACUGGGACUGAGACACGGCCCAGACUCCUACGGGAGGCAGCAGUGGGGAAUAUUGCACAAUGGGCGGAAGCCUGAUGCAGCAACGCCGCGUGAGGGAUGACGGCCUUCGGGUUGUAAACCUCUUUUAGCAGGGAAGAAGCGAAAGUGACGGUACCUGCAGAAAAAGCGCCGGCUAACUACGUGCCAGCAGCCGCGGUAAUACGUAGGGCGCAAGCGUUAUCCGGAAUUAUUGGGCGUAAAGAGCUCGUAGGCGGUUUGUCGCGUCUGCUGUGAAAUCCCGAGGCUCAACCUCGGGCCUGCAGUGGGUACGGGCAGACUAGAGUGCGGUAGGGGAGAUUGGAAUUCCUGGUGUAGCGGUGGAAUGCGCAGAUAUCAGGAGGAACACCGAUGGCGAAGGCAGAUCUCUGGGCCGUAACUGACGCUGAGGAGCGAAAGGGUGGGGAGCAAACAGGCUUAGAUACCCUGGUAGUCCACCCCGUAAACGUUGGGAACUAGUUGUGGGGACCAUUCCACGGUUUCCGUGACGCAGCUAACGCAUUAAGUUCCCCGCCUGGGGAGUACGGCCGCAAGGCUAAAACUCAAAGGAAUUGACGGGGACCCGCACAAGCGGCGGAGCAUGCGGAUUAAUUCGAUGCAACGCGAAGAACCUUACCAAGGCUUGACAUAUACGAGAACGGGCCAGAAAUGGUCAACUCUUUGGACACUCGUAAACAGGUGGUGCAUGGUUGUCGUCAGCUCGUGUCGUGAGAUGUUGGGUUAAGUCCCGCAACGAGCGCAACCCUCGUUCUAUGUUGCCAGCACGUAAUGGUGGGAACUCAUGGGAUACUGCCGGGGUCAACUCGGAGGAAGGUGGGGAUGACGUCAAAUCAUCAUGCCCCUUAUGUCUUGGGCUUCACGCAUGCUACAAUGGCCGGUACAAAGGGCUGCAAUACCGUAAGGUGGAGCGAAUC
rnacentral:rRNA from 1 species